UUGAUUCUUUGAACUCAACUAAAGCAGUAACUGCAGCUUUUUUUAAAACGAGAUUGUAGUAAUCGAUGCAUCUGUAAACACUAGGACAACCAGGAUACCCAGGUCAACAAAAGCAGGCAGACAUAAACUGAUAAUCUGGUCUACGUUAAGAAGACAACUGAUUUCCAGUUCAACGUUAGCAAUAGUUGGAAGCGCCAUGGAAACCUGUUUGUUUUGUUUUGUUCUUCUUGUCACUUUACUGGGACUUAGCACAUCUAAGCAAUUUCUUGUAAACAACCUUUCUGUGUAUGAAUCAAACGACAAGGAGCCCACGAAACCAUGUGCCAAAGCUUCACAUUGUGGUCUGGGAGGUUGUUGCCUGCAUGGUUGGUGCAGCACCACUGGCUCCACCUUUAAUAAGUGCUACUCCAAAGUCAGACAGAACGGCCGGGUGAGGCCUGUUGGCAACUGGAAAAAGACUGACGUCUGCCCGUGCGACCACAUGUCCUAUUGCUUCACCCAGAAACCUUAUAAGAAGCACCCAAAGUUUGGAAUCAUCGGCAACUGUUUCCCAAUCAUGCGUUAGUGACAGAAUGUGAGCUCAUUGGCUGAUGGUUUUUAGUUUGAAAAAUCGCUAGUAGGUCAAGAAAGUUUAUCUAUGUUCAUCGUAGUUUAGUUAAUUGAAGCGGGUGAAAAAGUUGUGAAUCAAUUGAUGGUAAAUAAGCCGAUUGAUAAAGAGAGACUAUUGAUAAAAGACUCGAACACCAAGAAACAUAAAUAGAUCAGAGACGACUAGAGAGCCAGAUAUAGAAACUUUUAAGAGAAACAUAGACCUAGUGACGGAUAGAAGCUUAGAGAUGACGAAUGACAGACAAAGAAUCACAGAGAGAAUCACAUAUAAUGAAAAACAAUGUUAGUGAGAAUAACUGACAACAAAAUGAAACUUCAGAGAAAGAGAGCAACAUUUCAAAUACAUCAGCCGUGUACUUAUAACUGUGUGAUUCAAAGGAGACAGACACAGUGCACUAAAUAGAGAAUGAAGAUACAAACCUCAAACAAAUAUAGUCUCAUUAUUAUUAUAUUUUGUUGAUUCAUAUCAUACGUUAUUUUUCUGUUAAUACAAGUGUUUGUUGCUUGCACAGAGUUUAUCGAUGCAACGAUAUUAUAUGUAUCUAUUUAUUAUGUUUGUCAAAUGUUGACGCAAACAAAAACAAAAAUGGCAAGUGUGAAUGUGAUGACAUUUUUAUGGUUCUUUAUUAUUACAUUUUUUUUCUUGGGGUAAUAGAUUUUGAGUGUUCCAGCUAAUGAAUUUGAAUUAUUUUAGCUGCUAGUGUUGAAUGUGUUUAUGAAUGAUAAAAUAGUCAGUGUGCUUGCAGACUACAAAUUGUAUGUGUAUUUUAAGAUUAAUGUACUAUUAGUUAUGUGAUUUAAAUGUUCUUGUUUUUUUAUCGAAUGAAAUAAAAUUGAUUUCCUUACU
rnacentral:sRNA from 1 species